rnacentral:rRNA from 1 species
UGAACGACUCUCGGCAACGGAUAUCUCGGCUCUCGCAUCGAUGAAGAACGUAGCGAAAUGCGAUACUUGGUGUGAAUUGCAGAAUCCCGUGAACCAUCGAGUUUUUGAACGCAAGUUGCGCCCGAGGCCACCCGGUCGAGGGCACGUCUGCCUGGGCGUCACAC